rnacentral:lncRNA from 1 species
UGAAACCUUACUCUUUUUCUCUCUUUCUGUUGGUGUAAAAAAUGAGAGCCGAAGCUCUCAUUUUAUAGGCAAAACAUUGCCAACUUAAUUUGACAUUACAAUAUUUGCUACCUACUUUCUUUGACAGACAAAGAAAAAACGUGGGCUGCUGCCUAUAUUGAAAAUGAAGAAGCAAGGAAGAAGCUUUCUUCCUUAAUAAGUGGGUUGGACCCCACAUAAGCAAGAUUUAAGAAGAUAUUUUCGCGCUCUUGGCAAGAUUUUACGUGGAUAAAAGCAAGAUUUAGAAGAAGAGUAACAGAUAUUUAUUUUGAAUGUCUUAACUAUUGUUGAUACUGCUCAUUUUCAUUGUGUCCUUGAGCGGAGAGUAUUCGGAACAGUGUCUCUUACCUUCACAGAGCAAGAGUAGGGUUUACGUACAUAUUACAUUUGUUAGACUCCACUCGUGGGACUAUAUACUGGCAGUGGCGAAGCCACAUAUUCAUAAGGGUUUUUCGAAUAAUUGGCACUGUGUACAUAGGUAAAAUAUUAUAUUUUAGAGGUAUAUAACACAUAUUGAACAUCAUUUGUCGAAUAUUUUUGUUUACUUGUUUUAAAUUUGAACAUCCUUAAAUAUAUU